GCGUACAGGGAAUGACGCAGGCCGACAGGGAUGCCGGUCAGGACGUCGCGGGAUGCGAUUCAUCAGGAUGAUGGGGUAGGGAAAAAAGGGCGGGCCAUCCCGCCCCUUUUUU
rnacentral:sRNA from 1 species